CUGACUGGUUCCACCGCCAUGUUGGCUGCUGAGGGGAGCCGGCCGUGCCCUGGCAGGUGCUGUGAGGGCACCUCUGCCCCCUCAGGGCAACAAAGCUGGUUAAAGUGAUACCAAAGUGGGGUAGCACGGCCCAGGGUCUCUGGGUUGGUGUGCACUGACUCUGGGUCUCUCUUCAGGAUACAAAUUUAGGUGUAAAGAUGCUCAAAUCAAGUAACAAAAUGGAGGCGAAGCUGUGGCAGUGACUGCCUGAGGGCGGGCGGAGCUAUCAGAGCACACAGCCCAGAGCAAAGAAGGGAUUCACCUUGUCUGCUACCCCGAGCCUUCUGCCAAUCCCAAAGGAUCUGGGGGCACAUGGAAGGUUGGUUGGAGAGCAACACUCGGAGUGGUGGGCGGCAAAACAGCGGAUAAAGAGGAUAAUAACCGUACCAGCUUCACCAGCCUGUGGAGAGAACAGCUGAAGAGAGCAUGUGAAAUUGCUGUGAUGAAUAGCAGAAGAGGGAAAGGCUUCUUGCAGUGAGAGAGAUCUAAGCAGUACGUCAGGCCAGGAGGCAAACAGAGAAAAAACUUUUUUGGAUGUAACCAGGGUCUGCUGAAAUGUUCCCAGGCCUGGCUGGAGGAUCAGUGUUGCUUUAAAACCUGAAUAAACAGUUACAUGCCUUGGUAGCUUCAGAUCCAGUAGCCAGAACAAAUGACAUUUUGCAUGAGUUCUUCCAAAUGAAUUGCUCUGUGACCACUGUAGACUUUUGAGUUUUUGACUCAUGGUAGUAGAAUACUUUUCUUGAAGGGCUCUGAAAUGCAGUUCUUUCGGGACCCGAUUGUUUCCAAAGCCAAUGCAGUUAACUCAGAGCCCGGUGCAGCUUCACAAACUCCCCUGAGUCAUGUUUUGACUCGGGGGUCGGACUUUUUUGUGAUGGAAUGUUUUGACAGGGCUCUGAGUGACCUCACGCGAGGGCAGUGGCUGUGUUGAUGUGCAGGAAUGUCGAUGGCUCUGCAGAAACCUCAGGGUCUCCCAUUAAGACGUUUCCUUCACCUCGGCGGGAGGACCCGCGCUGCUGCGAGUGCUGCUAGCGAGAUGCCCUGGAGUCAGAAAUACAGACAGAGCACGAUCGCUCUGAUGUGUUCAGCCACAGGGUGUUAAUGUGCCAUUGCUUCUCGGGGUUUCAGCACCAAGGCAUCCCUUCUUUGGAUCACAAUAACACAGGCGAGUGCACUUCUGCCCUAAGCAAACAGCGGCAGCUCUGUCGUGCACUGGGAUAGCGGAAUACAAUGGGCACCUUUUCCCACUCUGCCUGAACGCAGGACAUGCUCCCAAAGGCUUCUGAGUCCUGCAGAGCCUUUUCCACAUAUGUACCUCUACACUCCAAGGACUGUGGAAGUCAGGGACACACUUUCAUUGCUCCUGGGUAGCUCUGGGUGAAGCUGGGUCAGGGCUCCAUUUCCAAGGGGCCCCUCUUUCCCAGUGCUAAAUGUCCUUUUACAGCCCCAGAGGGCAGUAUAUGUGUCACAUGAGUGCCCUCAUAUAUGUGAGUGCACUCAUAUAACGUGUUUUGACUAAAGUUUUCUAUUUUGUUGGCAUUUGUCUGCACCAUCUAAUGAGUAUUUGCUCUACAAAGGCGCUCAGCACCUAAAAGAGCAAUUAUAUUUUUCAGAAAGUCUUAGAAGUUCUCUUUAUGGGCAGGUAUUUGUUAUGCUGAGGAUUGAACUCCUGCAAAGGAAGCGAAGUUUGAGCUUUCUUGAUAAAGACAAACAACACACUUUGUUCACAGUCUUCCUGAUAUGUUUAUGAUUCUUAUCAUGCUUAGUGCUCUUCUUAAGUCUGGAUUCCCCAAAACUGGAUGAUUAGAGAAUCUGAGUUGGUGUGAAACUCAAAACAGGACUUUUUGAGCUUUCAUUAUUAUAGAGAAAACCUUGGAAAUAAAUGCACAUGGAAGGCAAAAACUAGAGCGCUAAAAGAAGCAACCCAAAGUCAUAAACCAAAUUGAUGCAAUAGUGUGGCACAGUGACUAAUGUAGUCACAAGUUCUCACUGAAAAUUGCUGCUUAUUAAGCAAAAUAAAAGUAUUUUUAAUUUUAUUGCCUUAAGGAUACUUAAUCCAACAGCAAAAUGUUUUUGUUUAUCAGAUUUUUUUCUGUGUCACAAAUAUCACAUUCUAUAUGAAAACAUAAGAAAAUAAAUUUCUGUCAAGAGUGAAUUUGAUACAAAGUUAAACGUUUGCUUUAAUCAGAGGUACUUGUAUAUCCACAUGGGUGGAUGAGUUUGUGUCUUCUUAUUUUAGGUUAAUAUUGGUAUUUUCAUGCCUGAUUCAUGAUUUUUGAAUGCUUGAGCUCAGCAGCACUGAACACCUGCCUUAAUUGUGGGGACUAAGCUUCUUUGAAAUUCUAAUCUAAAUUUAAAAUUUCUACCAUUAAAAAAAAAUAAUAAAAAAAUCCUAGACCAGACAAGCCUCUUUGCCAAAUGCUGGGUUAUAAAUUACAGCCAUUUCUUUUUAUUACACUGUUAUACACUAAAAAAAUAAACCCCAAACACCUAAACCCACAAAUCUAAUUA